CAAGUAUGGAAAAAACCAAAAGAAGACAUCUACCCUCAGUGCUGCUCAGAAAUUGAUUGUCCUGCCAAAAAAUAAAGGACAGCCCAAUGGUAGUAUCAGCAGCACUGGCAACCAUAUGAUGCCGCUCUACGUUUGGAUUCUCCGCUCUGCAGUGGUGCUUCUCCUGCUCUUCUCAGCACCAAUCUUCAAUUUCUUCUUGAAGAAAGGAAGCUGCUUCUUAGUUUGAACAACAGACCUGCCCUGAAAGUACAACUUGGCUCCUGUCCUGGAUUGAUCAUAUUUCUUGCUUACCUAUAGCAGAGUUUGUCAGCUGGUGGUCUGGAGCCUCAAUCUUGCCGCUGAUGGCUUCUUCUUUGCUCCAAGUCCCUAAUUAAGCUCAAGAGCUACUCACUCCUGCGUGUGAAUCAAGGCAGAAGCAAAUGGGGAUGUGGACAUGAAGGGGGAAACUCUGUUAUGUCCCCUGAUGCUCAGAUCAGAAUAUGCUCCCUCUGAAAAACAAAAUGUUGACCAUCAAUUUACAUCUGUCUCAGAUCUUGUCUGAUGUAUGGAGUUCUCCUGGAAAUACUUACAAGAAUAACCUCCUUUAGUAUGUCUGGAAAAGAAUCUUGGUUUGAUAAUGCUGGAAAUAAAUUCAUUUGUCAAUGUUAAGGGAAUUGCCAUCCAGUGAACAAGAAAUGCUGGGUGCUCAGAUACUCAGGGGCAGCUCAAGGUUUUUGGGCCUGAGCAUCUGAUAUCAAAUGCUGUCCUGCCUUCCCAUCGAAGAGCUCUUCUCCCUUCUUCUGCCCGCCUUCCUACCCAACCUCUAGGGUAGGGGUUCCCAAACUGUGGCCCUCCAGAUGUUGCUGAACUACAAUUCCCAUCAUCUGAGCCACAGCUGGGGGUGAUGGGAAUUGUACUUUGGCAACAUCUGGAGGGCCGCAGGUUGGGAAUCCCUGCUCUAGGGCAUAUCUUAUCUUGUCUCCCCUCCCCUCAAGGUACAUACAGUAAUUUUCCUUCCCUUCACCACCCCCAGGCUCACUGUCGUGAAUUCAUUUGCCUCUUUUUCUGACCCCCUGCCAGAAUGCACCUUCUCUUCUGUCUGCCCCCAUGGAGCAUAUUCCAUAUUGGGUAAUAAAGAACCCUCCAGUUUAAGAUGAGAAUUAAGAUGGGUUUACAUUUUCAGUCGUGGUCUAAAAAGCAUGGAAAAGCCGAUUUAAUGUGCCCUACUGAACCUCUGCACCAUGGUAGCUGCAAAGACUUUGUAUAGUCUUGUAUAUCAUCCUGGCUGCCAGGAGGGAGGGAAGAAUGGAGAGCGUGUGUUUGCUUCUUCUUUCUCCAAAGUACCUACUUAAGGGCUUGGCUUGCCAAAGGUGUGAGCUGAAGGGCAAAAGCCAAAGGGCUCUUGCUCUUUGGCUCUUAGUCUGUGGCAUGCAGCCUGUGAGCAGCAUCAGAAUUCCUCAGCUGUCUUAUUUUGAUACCUCCACAGAAGGUGCAUCUGUCCCACUGGAUUCAUGAGUAGAGUACAGUUGUUGGAACUUUUAAUGCUUGGCUUGGGGAAGGAAGUAGCUGUUCUUUGCACAUGAAUUAUGUUGUCUCCUUUGAAUAAGAAAGCUUGCAACUGAAACAGAUCAUUGUGUAUAUCAUGUUGGCUUUACAAAUGAGGGUCCAUGCACUCACACUUUGCCUUAGUCCUUCAGCUGGACAUUGUGUUGAGAAGGGAUGCAACCAGGCAGAAAUUCAACAGGUGAAGCUUCUGCAAUCAUUUCCUAUUGACGCCCCUGAUGAAUUUCUGCCUGAUGCAUCUCUGUUCUAAUAAAUGCAUGAAGAGUAACAACACAAACCCUUUAUGAGCAAAACCCCUUUACACAGUGUGGAGGAACUUUGGAAGUGUAUUGCAGAGGCUUGUAAGACUUGGACUUUGACAGGAAGAAGCACAGCUGUGAUAAGAUAGCUGGAAAUUGUGUAAUGGGUAAUAGUAACUGUCUGUAACUGUCUGGAGCCGAGUGUUUACACGCUCCACCCAAGAGAACAAUGAAUUGAUCAUGUUGGUACGGUAUUGAUGAUUUUUUUUUUACUAUACCUGUAUAAACAGAGUGCUUUAAGUAUCAGUGUAAUCAGACAGUCAGGACUGAAUCUGUCUUUUGGCCAGGUUCAGUCAGCUGCGCAACCUGAAUAAU